GUUUGAUCCUGGCUCAGGACGAACGCUGGCGGCGUGCCUAAUACAUGCAAGUCGAACGAACUCUGGUAUUGAUUGGUGCUUGCAUCAUGAUUUACAUUUGAGUGAGUGGCGAACUGGUGAGUAACACGUGGGAAACCUGCCCAGAAGCGGGGGAUAACACCUGGAAACAGAUGCUAAUACCGCAUAACAACUUGGACCGCAUGGUCCGAGUUUGAAAGAUGGCUUCGGCUAUCACUUUUGGAUGGUCCCGCGGCGUAUUAGCUAGAUGGUGGGGUAACGGCUCACCAUGGCAAUGAUACGUAGCCGACCUGAGAGGGUAAUCGGCCACAUUGGGACUGAGACACGGCCCAAACUCCUACGGGAGGCAGCAGUAGGGAAUCUUCCACAAUGGACGAAAGUCUGAUGGAGCAACGCCGCGUGAGUGAAGAAGGGUUUCGGCUCGUAAAACUCUGUUGUUAAAGAAGAACAUAUCUGAGAGUAACUGUUCAGGUAUUGACGGUAUUUAACCAGAAAGCCACGGCUAACUACGUGCCAGCAGCCGCGGUAAUACGUAGGUGGCAAGCGUUGUCCGGAUUUAUUGGGCGUAAAGCGAGCGCAGGCGGUUUUUUAAGUCUGAUGUGAAAGCCUUCGGCUCAACCGAAGAAGUGCAUCGGAAACUGGGAAACUUGAGUGCAGAAGAGGACAGUGGAACUCCAUGUGUAGCGGUGAAAUGCGUAGAUAUAUGGAAGAACACCAGUGGCGAAGGCGGCUGUCUGGUCUGUAACUGACGCUGAGGCUCGAAAGUAUGGGUAGCAAACAGGAUUAGAUACCCUGGUAGUCCAUACCGUAAACGAUGAAUGCUAAGUGUUGGAGGGUUUCCGCCCUUCAGUGCUGCAGCUAACGCAUUAAGCAUUCCGCCUGGGGAGUACGGCCGCAAGGCUGAAACUCAAAGGAAUUGACGGGGGCCCGCACAGGCGGUGGAGCAUGUGGUUUAAUUCGAAGCUACGCGAAGAACCUUACCAGGUCUUGACAUACUAUGCAAAUCUAAGAGAUUAGACGUUCCCUUCGGGGACAUGGAUACAGGUGGUGCAUGGUUGUCGUCAGCUCGUGUCGUGAGAUGUUGGGUUAAGUCCCGCAACGAGCGCAACCCUUAUUAUCAGUUGCCAGCAUUAAGUUGGGCACUCUGGUGAGACUGCCGGUGACAAACCGGAGGAAGGUGGGGAUGACGUCAAAUCAUCAUGCCCCUUAUGACCUGGGCUACACACGUGCUACAAUGGAUGGUACAACGAGUUGCGAACUCGCGAGAGUAAGCUAAUCUCUUAAAGCCAUUCUCAGUUCGGAUUGUAGGCUGCAACUCGCCUACAUGAAGUCGGAAUCGCUAGUAAUCGCGGAUCAGCAUGCCGCGGUGAAUACGUUCCCGGGCCUUGUACACACCGCCCGUCACACCAUGAGAGUUUGUAACACCCAAAGUCGGUGGGGUAACCUUUUAGGAACCAGCCGCCUAAGGUGGGACAGAUGAUUAGGGUG
rnacentral:rRNA from 1 species